GAUUAGUUUUAUUCUUGCUUGAAAUUAUUUGCUUUUGAAUUAUUUAUAUGUAAGUUUUUGCAUUAUUAAUUAAGUAUCUUGAUGAUUUUAUUAUUUAUGUUGCAGUAAAGAUUUUUAUUAAUUGAUAGUAAUAUUGAUUUAGUAAUUUUGAUUUAUUAUUGGUAAAAUUUGUGCCAGCAUCCGCGGUUAUACAAAAAAUAUAAGUGAAUAUUUUUGGUUAAAAUAGUUAUAUAUAUUUAUUUGAAGUUUUGUUUUUAUUUAUUAGGUGAAAUUUUAAUUUUUAUUAAAACUUUAUUAUAUUUGAGGCUAUGAAAUCUUUAAUUGUAAACUAGGAUUAGAUACCCUAUUAUUUUUGAUAUAAAUUAUUUAUAACCUGAGUAGUAUUAGUUAUGUUCUUGAAACUUAAAGAAUUUGGCGGUAUUUUAGUCUGUUUAGAGGAAUCUGUCCCUUAAUCGAUAAUUCACGUUGAACCUUACCAUAUUAUUGUAUGUAUACCGCCGUUAUAAUGGCGAUCUUUUUAGGGUUAUAGAAGAAUUUUCUUAAUUUAGUUAUUUUAAUUUAUUUCAGGUCAAGGUGCAGCUAUAUAUUUUGGUGGAGAUGGAUUACAUUUAUAUUAGUAUUUGGAUUAUUUAGUGAAAUUUUAAUGUGAAAUUGGAUUUAAUUGUAAUUUUUUGAAGAUUAUAAGGGUGAAUAUUAGCUCUAUAAUAUGUACACAUCGCCCGUCACUCUCAUUAUUAAUUUGAGAUAAGUCGUAACAUAGUGGCUGUACUGGAAGGUGUAGCUGGUUUGAU
rnacentral:ncRNA from 1 species